UAUCCUAAUGGCUUUCUUCUGCAGUAUGAAUAUUCCAUUAUUCUCUAUACUUUUUCCCCAAAAAAUAACUCCAUAUCUCAUAACUGACAGAAAAUAAGCAUGAUAUACAAAAAGAACAGUUUUUUCACUCCCUACUCUAGCCAUUACUCUUAAUGCAAACAAGGCUCUAUUCAAUUUACCAGUGACAUGAGAAAUAUGAAGCUUCCACUUCGAAUCACUCUCCAUUAUCAGACCCAAGAAUGUCGUGGAAUCAGAAGUUUCAACUCUACUUUGCGUAUUCAAGUUUAUUCCAAAACUUUUAUAGUCUCUACUGAAGGGAAUUACUUUAGUUUUUUUGCAGUUCAAACUAAGACUAUUCUGAUCAAACCACGAAUCUAAUUCAGCAAGACACCUCUCAGCCUCUCUUAUCAAACAUUCACUGUUCCUACUGGUGAUUAAAGCUGUAGUGUCGUCCGCAAAAAGAGAGAGUUUGAAAUUGACGUGACUCUCGAUGUCAUUAACAUAGACCAGCUGAGUUUGAAAUUGACGUGACUCUCGAUGUCAUUAACAUAGACCAGGUAUAAGAGGGGACCCAAUAUUGAACCCUGCGGUACUCCCUGAGACAU